CCUACGGGAGGCAGCAGUAGGGAAUAUUGCUCAAUGGGCGAAACCCUGAAGCAGCAACGCCGCGUGAAGGAGGAGGGCUUUAGGGUUUUAAGCUCCUUUUGUGGGGACAGAAAAUGACGGUAUCCCACGAGUAAGCACCGGCUAACUCCGUGCCAGCAGCCGCGGUAAUACGGAGGGUGCAAGCGUUGUCCGGAAUCAUUGGGCGUAAAGAGUUCGUAGGCGGGAUUUUAAGUCUGGUGUUAAAUGCAGUAGCUUAACUACAGUACUGCAUUGGAAACUAGGAAACUAGAGUGCGGGAGAGGUAAAUGGAAUUCCUGGUGUAGGGGUGAAA
rnacentral:rRNA from 1 species